AUAAAUAACAGUAGUAGAGAUAGAAAGAAAUAAUUAAUAAAUCUGAAGCGGGUUUAAACAGGUCAACCCGAACUCGACCUGUUUAAUUAGCGGGUCAGGUUCGGGUUUAGGAAAAAAACUAAAUAGGUUAACAGAUCAGAUUUAGGAAAAAAACACAUCAAGCCGUUAAGACCCGACACGAACCUGACACGACCCGACCCGAUUGCCACCCCUAGUCCCAUUACACCCCCAUCCCCUGUAAGAUCCAUUGCCACUUGUUGGUCCAUUCCCCAAAUUUUCAAAUUAAAGCUGACUUUAUAGUACAACAGGAGCAGACCCAUGUGACUUCACAAGACCUUAAGCCACGUCAUCAUCUUCUUCUCCAAACACAGCAAACUCCGGUGCGACUUCCGGCAGAGACCCCUUCUCCAUUGCUUCCAGUCCUUCCUUUUUUCACCUUAAAGAAAAGCUCCAAAGUCCCCCCUGCUUGUAAGAUGGAAGCUCAGACCAACUUAGAUCGUUGAAAACCAACAACACCCUGCUCACCGACGCCUACACCACCCGAAAACCGGCUUAAUUUCAACCCAAAAAUCUAUUCCCCCUUUAACAUCCACCCCCAUCUACACCAUCACUACCAACUAGGUUGUGUGCAGCCCCACUACCAUGACUGAAACCGGCACUCGGUUGUUUACAUUUAUUUUGUGACAUUGGAUGUCCAUGGUUAUCUCGCCUUGAGUUCAUUGUUAAGAAAACCUCGUUGUAUUCGCGUCAUCCCGAGUCUUUGUCUUCGCGUCUAGUGUAUCAAAAGUGUGUUUUUGGUUUAGGACGUACGUACGUCCCACAGGUCAGCAAACUUUCAAUCGUGUUGAACGUACGUACCGAGUUAGGGCGUACGUAUGUUAGGUUAGGCAGCAGGAAAGUUUUUGUUCAGGACGUACGUAUCUAGUUAGAGCGUUCGUACGUCCAAGCAGUCAGCAAAUGUUUGUCGUAUGGGGACGUACGAACGGUGUUUCGACGUACGUACGUCCAAUAUGGAUUUUGUUAAAUUCCGGCCCAUUUCUUGUGUACUCCAACCCUAAGUAUAAAUAGGGUUUCUCUUCCAAAGAAUGAGUUAGUUCUUUGGCCGUCUAUUCCUUGGAGUUUUGUUUAGGUUUUGUGUUGAAAUUGUUUUGGUUAAUGAACUCAAUUCUCUUUCUUCCUAAUUCAUCAAUUCCUUAUCUUCCGUAUACAGUUGUGAAUUCGGCUUCGAGUCUUCUUGUGUGUUCAUCAAGGAGUCGAGUGUCUUGUGCGUACAUCAAGGUGCUCUGGUGAAGUCAAGGUGUUAGAGAUAACUUGAAGUAUCAGCUCGCAGUGAGUGCAGGUAGUUGAUAGGUUUGUAAAUCUCUUUCGUCUAGUGGAUUAUUUGUUGUCACCAAAGGCAACCGUGGACGUUUCCCAAAUUGGGUUUUACCACGUUAAAAAUUCCUGCGUGUUAUUUACUUUCUGCUUAUCGUUUGAUUUGUUUUGAAUAUUAAACUGUGAGAUUAGCACUAUCUGUGUUUUUCAAUGACAACCCCAAUGAAUCCCUUGAAGAGAUCUCGAUAUCAUCUCCUUUGGUUCCCCAUAAAAUUCCUUUAACUCCCUUCCUAAACCCAGCACAUCUCUCACAAAUUGUAGAUCCCUAUUAUAAGAACAAAGACGAAUGAGAUCCACAGCCAGUCAACGGCGCCGGACUGGCCGUGGUCAACGGUGGUUUUCUCUCUGGUUCUCUCUGAUAUCAAUGGUUCUCUCUGAUAUCAAUUGAUCUCAAAGAUAUGACUGGCAAUGUUUUUAAAAUUCAGCAAUGACCGAUACUGAAUUGUAGAAUUGUGAACGGUGAAUUCCAUGGAAUUGUAGCAAUGAGGAUAUUGAAAUGUUCUAGGGGAACGGUGAGUUCCCUGAAUUGUAGUUGUCUGUGCACCACUAAUUUCCCGAAUAACGUUCCCAUUGUCCUAUCAAUAUAAUGCAAGAUUAAUGGAGUUACUGCAGCUGCAGUUAUAGUGAUGGG
rnacentral:lncRNA from 1 species